GACGAACGCUGGCGGCGUGCCUAAUACAUGCAAGUCGAACGAGUGGCGGACGGGUGAGCAAUGUCUGGGAAACUGCCUGAUGGAGGGGGAUAAAUAGGGGAACCGGUAGCUAAUACCGCAUACCAUCAGAUGUGCCCAGAUGGGAUGAUCUUGUUGGUGGGGUAACGGCUCACCAAGGCGACGAUCCCCAGCUGGUCUGAGAGGAUGACCAGCCACACUGGAACUGAGACACGGUCCAGACUCCUACGGGAGGCAGCAGUGGGGAAUCUUGCACAAUGGGCGAAAGCCUGAUGCAGCCACGCCGCGUGUGUGAAGAAGGCCUUCGGGUUGUAAAGUACUGUCAGCAGGGAGGCGGUACCCGCAGAGGAAGCACCGGCUAACUCCGUGCCAGCAGCCGCGGUAAUUC
rnacentral:rRNA from 1 species